GUGUUUGUUUCACCGUGGGAUGAAGCGAGAGUGUGAAGGUGGGCGGCUCUGCUUGGUUUGUGUGAUCUGCUCUGCUAAAAACCUGCAGUAGGGAAGGCAGAAAAAAAAGGUUUGGCUUGACAUCCCUGUGGCCCAGACAAAGGACUGGAAACUGGAACUUGCUGCAAUCUGAAAAUUUCUGCACUGAAAUCUGUUGGACUGAGAAAGGCCCAAGGAUCCUGCAUGAAAAUGGUGAGGAAUAUUGAACCUUUGACAGCUGAAUUUUUGUCUCCUGGCAUGUUACACAGGACAAUCUGUGCCUGAAAACACCUUCCACUUGUGGGGACUGCAGAGCUGAGCACCCACACACGCUGGAUAAAUGAAUAUACUCCAAAAAUGGCUGUUUCAAAUGGAGCUGCUCAGAAACAGGCAGGAAAGCAGAGAGUGGAGCCAGGCAAUUUGCCUCAAGCAGGCAGGUUAAACCACAAAUAUCUGUUAUUCUUUAUCAUGUCCCAGAAUAUUAUUGAAAAUAACACCUGAGCUAUUGCUCAGAAUGUUUUCUCCUGAUGAGGUGAGAGAGCUGUCAUUUUAAUCCUUCUUGCUGAGUUUCCUCUGUCUCAAACAUUGCUCUGUUCCAGUUUGCCUCAGAUAAAAGCUGACUUUUGAGGUUUAGCUCCCUUUUGUUCACCUCAGUGCCUCUUCCUUCCACAGCUCCUCUCUUUGGUGUCUCCACACGAGACUUUGCUUUUCUUCUCUGAAAAGGUCGAAAGUAAAAUCAUGCUCCUUCCUGCAUGCCAAACUCCUUGACUCACAAACAAGCUGCAGCAGCAGAAUAAAAGGGAAAAUUUGGCUCAGAGUUCACAACUUCUCUCGAGCACAUGACAGGUGUGUUAGCUCCCAUUAAGAAAGCUCUCUGGAAAUUCAGAGGAUUGUACAGGUAAUCACUGUUUGAUUAAUAAUUUACAACACCAACAGGACAGAAAUGAAAAUUGGGGAAUGACAAUCUCCAAGCAGCUGUGGGCCUGUCAAAAAUGGAAACUUCAAGGCAACAUUCUCCAUUCCAUCUCUCUGCCUGUGCAACUGGAGAUGCCCAGCAAAAAAAUCCACCUGCUUCAAAGCCUUAGUUUGUGUCUCAGCACCAGCAGCAGCCGCAAACUGCUGUGUCUGGAGUGUCCCCAUCUCCUCAGAACCGUGCCACUGCUCUGUUCCUGGAGGGUUCCACACCUGGGGACUCACAUCUCCCUUUUAUCCAUCUCCAGCUGUGAGAAUCAACCUUUUAUGGAGGACCCAGUGAGGCAAAACCCGAGAUGUGAUGCCAGCUCCGUGUUCAAAAAGGAGAUUUCAGCAUGUGCUGUGUAGCUCAGGACUGGAUCUGCUCUCAAUCUG
rnacentral:lncRNA from 1 species